rnacentral:misc_RNA from 1 species
AAGACUAUAGACCUGCGGAGUACCUGCGGAAGGAUCAUUAUCGUAUUGUAACAAUUGGGGGGGCCACCGUGGGCUGUCGCUGACCCUUUGAAAGGGGGGUCGUGCACGCCCCCAUAGUGUCAUCCUCAUACAAUCCAACUCACCUCUGUGCAUCACCGCGUGGGUUCCUUUCUGGGUCGAGUCAGACUGGCUCAGAAAAAAGGGGCUUGCGUUUUCCAUACAAAUACACUUAUAAAUCCA